rnacentral:rRNA from 1 species
GACGAACGCUGGCGGCGUGCUUAACACAUGCAAGUCGAACGGACAGGCGCUGCUUUUGUGGGGUGCUUGAGUGGCGCACGCGUGAGUAACACGCGAGUAAACUGUCCUUGAAUUUGGGAUAACUUCUGGAAACUCGGGCUCAUACACGAUAGGAGCUCCUGAAGCAUGGGGGGGGAUGGUAAAUUUCGGUGGUUGGGGCUAGUCUCGCAGGUUACCCGCUACUUGGUGAGGUAGUGGCUUACCAAGGCUUUGACGGGUAGGCGGCCUGGGAGGGUAACCAGGCACAAUGGGACUGAGAUAGGGCGCAGACUGCAACGGUAGGCAGCAGUGGGGAAUAUUGCACAAUGGGCCGGAGCCUGAUGCAGCAACGCCGCGAGCGGGAUGACGGGCUUCGGGUGGAGAACCGCUUUCGCCGGUGACGAAGCGUGAGUGACGGUAAUGGGUAAAGAAGCACCGGCUAACUACGUG